ACCCUGCUGAUGGGGCCGGCACUGGCGCUGCUGGCAUUGGCGCUGGUGCUGCUGUUGCAGGCGGCGGCGGGGCA
rnacentral:tRNA from 1 species